rnacentral:rRNA from 1 species
UACGUAGGGUGCGAGCGUUGUCCGGAAUUAUUGGGCGUAAAGGGCUCGUAGGCGGUCUGUUGCGUCGGCUGUGAAAACCCGAGGCUCAACCUCGGGCCUGCAGCCGAUACGGGCAGACUAGAGUUCGGCAGGGGAGACUGGAAUUCCUGGUGUAGCGGUGAAAUGCGCAGAUAUCAGGAGGAACACCGGUGGCGAAGGCGG